UACGAAGGGGGCUAGCGUUGCUCGGAAUCACUGGGCGUAAAGGGUGCGUAGGCGGGUUUUAAGUCAGGGGUGAAAUCCUGGAGCUCAACUCCAGAACUGCCUUUGAUACUGAAGAUCUUGAGUCCGGGAGAGGUGAGUGGAACUGCGAGUGUAGAGGUGAAAUUCGUAGAUAUUCGCAAGAACACCAGUGGCGAAGGCGGCUCACUGGCCCGGUACUGACGCUGAGGUGCGAAAGCGUGGGGAGCAAACAGG
rnacentral:rRNA from 1 species